CACAAGCGUAUGCAAAAGUUGCUGCGUUUAAAAAGCUCGUAGUUGGAUCUGUUGAUGAUGUUGCGUCUAACCGCCAGGUUCGUUUCGAGAGUGCGGGUGACAUCAUCUUCUUCCCGUUGAGGGUGUUUGCACUUAAUUGUGUUGAAUACUCGAGACGGAUACUUAAUUUGAAUAAAUUAGAGUGUUCAAAGCGACCUUUGGGAAUGAAUGAUAAAGCAUGUGAUAGAGGAGGAAGACCCACCGUUGUCCGGAAGGGUUUGCAACGGCUGGUAAUGAUUGAAAGGAACAGUCGGGGGCAUUUGUAUUGCUACGUUAGAGGUGAAAUUCUUGGAUCGUGGCAAGACAAACUACAGCGAAAGCAUUUGCCAAGAAUGUUUUCAUUAA
rnacentral:rRNA from 1 species